AUAUAUAUACAUAAAUAUAUAUAUAUAUAUGCAUACCUGAAUCCUAUCCAUUUAAUUUUCCUUCUCACGUCUUUUCUCUAUCAAGGAUUCAUAAUUUUUUUUUAAUACAAUGAAAAAAGUGAACGCACACAUAGAUCAUACAUUAUAUAAACGAUAUAAGCAGGAACUGUUAGCAAAACAAAAAUACAUAUAUGAAGGUAAUUAUGAAAAAUUAUUUUAAAUAAAUAAAUAAAUAUACUUUAACAUUUUUUUUUUUUUCUAUUCUUUUGUGUUCUUGUUUUUAUUUUAGCAUUUCAGGACCAUUUUUACAUAACCUCAAUGUUCUCACAAUUUAAAAGUAGUGAAGAUAAUGAAGAAAUGUCUUUGAAAAAGAAGUUAUUUGGUAUGAUGCUUCUAGUUCAUUUUUAUUUUUUUAUAAAUGAUCAAAAAACAUUAAAUAUACUAUAUAAAACAUGUAAAAUGUUUAAACGAGACAAUAUUAGUUUUGCUCGUCAUCACCACAUAUUAAAAAUAUUAACAUUAAAAAUAAAGCCUGAUUUAUUUGAAAACCUAUUUUUCGAACUUAAAACUCAAAAAAAAAGUAAUAAUGUUAUAGAAGAGACACUGGAUAAAAAUAAAGUUACAAGUAAUAAUAAACAUAUAUUAAAUAUGUUCAAAAAUUAUAAUAAAACAUUAUUUAAUGAAUUUAGUAUAAGUAAUCGAAAGUAUAGCAUGGCUAUUCAAUUAGCUGGUAAAUAUAAGGAAUAUAUUAAUUGUUAUGAUUAUUUAAAUAACAAGCUAAGAGUAUAUACAUUAACAUAUGAUUUAUUUUUGUAAUGGUUAUGAAAUAUAAAAUGUGCUUAUAAAUUAAUAAUUUACAAACGCAUGUCAUAUUUAUACACAUACAACGUGGUAAAUAAAAUAAUAAAAUUGAAGUAAAAAAAAAAAAUA
rnacentral:lncRNA from 1 species